GCUAAAAACUUAGCCUUACCCCUACAAUUAUNUUUACCCUAUUUUACUUACACAAAAUAAAACAUUCUUUAAGCUUAGUAAAGGAGAUAAAAAAGUUUUUUAGAGCUAUAAAAUAAGUACCGCAAGGGAAAAAUGAAAUAAAAAUGAAACAAAAUUCAAGCAUAAUAUAGUAGAGUUUUCCCCUCGUACCUUUUGCAUCAUGAUUCAACUAGUUUAACCACGCAAAAAGAAUUUAAGUUUGACUUCCCGAAACUAAGUGAGCUACUUCAGGGCAGCUAAAUGAGCCAACCCGUCUCUGUUGCAAAAGAGUGGGAUGACCCUUAAGUAGAGGUGAUAAACCUAACGAACUUAGUGAUAGCUGGUUAUUCAGGAAAAGAAUUUUAGUUCAACUUAAAAUUACAUAAAUAAAAUAAAAUAAAAUUUUAAUUUUAAAGCAAUUCAAAUAAGGUACAGCCUAUUUGAAAUAGAAUACAAUCUAAACUAUAGGGUAAAUAUAAAAAAUUAAUGUAAUAAAGUAGGCCUAAAAGCAGCCAACUUUAAAAUAGCGUCAAAGCUUACUUCCAUAAUUUUUUAAUACUAUUAUUUACAAUGAACCCUUUAUUUUUACUGAAUAUUUCUAUAAAGUUAUAGAACCUUUUAUGUUGAAACUAGUAACAAGAAGUUAAACUUCUCCUCAAUAUAAGUAUAAGUCGACUAGGAUAAACCAUCGACAAUUAACGCUUAAAUUAAAUGUAUUAACUCCACAAGAAAAACUUACAUUACCCCACGUUNNUCUUACACCAG
rnacentral:rRNA from 1 species